UGUUCAGCUUUUUCUUGUCAUUACUUACUAGUUAAUAGUUAUUACUAUUUGAACUUUUAUGUCAUUUUUAUUUUUGAUCUCAAAUUUUUAAAUCAUUGAACGUUUGUAUAUAUUUGUUAAAUAUUUUGUUCUACGUCAUUUUUAAAAAUGAAGGAUGAACAGAAUGAUAAUAACGAACCAGAAAACUCUCGAAUAUUCGUAUUGUAUGACAAAAAUCACCCAGUAUCUGAAAAUGAGUUUAAAGAAAUGUUUGGACAUUUUGGUGAUGUAAAAAAUAUUUAUAUUGUAAAAGACCGCAACAGUGACAGUGUGAAAGGAGUUGCAUACAUAAAAUAUUCAAAAGCAUCAGAAGCUUUUAAAGCUAUUGAAGCAAUGAAUGGACAUAGAAUAGAAUCAUCAAAUCGUCGUAUGAAAGUCUUAAUGGCCACCAGUCCUGGUCAUAUAAGGAGCAAUUCAGAAAUGGAAUAUAAUAGACUAUUUGUAUUUGUACCAAAAACUGAUAAGGAAUCAGAUUUAGAAAAUAUUUUUAGUCAAUUUGGUGAAAUAUCCAAAGUUCAUAUUGUUACGAAUAAAGAUACGGGAGAAUCAAAAGGAAUAGCUUUUAUAACUUAUUCAAAGGCUUCAUCUGCUGCUUUAGCUAUUGAAGAAUGUGGACCAAACUACAAAGCUGUUUUUGCUAAGCCUAAACAUGAUGAUGGACCAUCUGUAUAUCCUUCGUCUUAUCCUAGACAUAUUGAUUCUAAAAAUCCAACUAGUAGUUAUUCACUGCUUGCUCCUCCAUCACAUCAACACCGAGAUGAACCUAGUGUAUUAACUGCUUAUACUUCAUCAAUUGUCUCAUAUAAUGAACUUUUUAAAAUUAUGAAUAUUGCUCCUGAAUUGGAAUUAGUUAAGGAAAUAUCAAGACAGCAAAUGUACGAUAAGAAGGUAUAUCAAGUUAUUUAUAAUAGUAUUGCAGCGGCUGAACAUGCUGUUAAUCGAAUUAAUGGAUUUGAAUACCCACCGGGUCAUCCAAUAAUACUGGAAUUCAGUAGUUCUUCUAUAUCUAUCUCAUCAGCGGUAAAUCCUAUAGCAAAUAAAAUUUCAAAAGAUAUAGAAGUUCUCUCUAGUACUGUCUCAAAAGCAUUAGCCGUGAUUAAAAAUGCUAGUAUAACAUCUGCUUCUUUAUGUUUGGCGGAUGAUUAUAGUUCAUCAUUAGCGGCGAAAAGAGGAAAUGAAAAAGUUCUUAUGCCAUCAUCAGAUAAUAAUUCAUUCAGAUUAUUUUUUGUAUGCAAACCAAUUAUUCCUCCAAUGCGCUUGUUAGAAGAUACUUUUAAAAUGUUCAAAGGCUUAAGAAAUAUUAAUGUCAUUGAUGGCAAGAAUUAUGGUUAUGUGACUUAUGAUAAUUUGGAAAGUGCAACACAAGCUAUUAACUGUUUAAAUGAUCAUAAAGUAUACAACAGUCGUCUAAAAGUAAUGGAAGCUGAACCCAGAGAACCAAAUCGUAAACGUAUGAAACCUGAUACAAUGUGAAUACAAGAAGUAAAAUAAUGACCUAUACAGCAAUACUCUGCAAUGACGAUAAGUAUGCACUCCGCCAUUUCAACCUCUACAACUGUACAGCAGAGCAACUUCCCACGUUCUCAGACGUCUGUACAGACGUUUUGGAGCAGAGAGAGCGCAGCACCCUCAGCAACUCCACCAAAAAUACUUUCCCAAUAAAUUGAAAAUGUGAACCGGACUCUCUGCCCGUCGUCAUACCAGUCGCGUCCGAGACGUCUUCCACAGGAAUCCACGACAACAACAACAACGC
rnacentral:misc_RNA from 1 species